AUGAACGUGGAUGCAGCGAUUUUGCGCAACAAAAGAGGAGGAGCGGUGGCCGCAGUUUGUCGAGACCACACAGGGCUUUACCUUGGCUCCUCGGCCAUCCUGGUUCGAGGCAUCAUCGAUCCAAUGAUACUUGAAACUUUUGCUUGCAGAGAAGCAUUGGCCCUAACAGAUGAUCUAAACAUCCAGAGAGUGAUGGUAGCAUCAGACAGUUUGGGUGUGGUGAAGGAUAUUAAUUCUGGUACUAGAGGCCCUCACUCAGCAAUAGUACAUGAAAUAACAGAACGUAGCAGUAGUUUUAUUUUGUGCUCUUUUGUUCAUGAGCGUAGGAACCAUAAUUUCGAAGCUCAUAAUCUCGCCAAAUUGGCCUGUAAUCUAGGCUUAGGUAGAAAUGUUUGGUUGGGCAUUCCUCACGACCCGAACCGUAUACCUAUGAACAUUAUCGUUGAGUAA
rnacentral:rRNA from 1 species